rnacentral:lncRNA from 1 species
CUACUCGCACGUCCAAUUGAUGUAUAGUAUCUCUAUUUAAGUUGUGCAUGGUAUCUGGUAGCUGUCUAGCCACUACAACAAAAACGGUCUAUAGCGACACUUUUAAAUGUAGGUACAUGUCAAAAAAGUGCUGCUAGCUAAAAUUACCGACACUUUUAAAAAGUGUUGCUAUAUGUAGGGUCGCUAGGUGUAAGGACUGAGAUUUUUGCAGUGUAGCUAAACUCUCAGUUGACGAUGUUUUUGUGUGUAAUUGAAUUACAAAAGCACUCGUCAAGUUUCGGGCGAAAACGAGUUAAAACGGAAAUUCUACGCGAUUUCCAAGUUUCACUUAAAGUGAAUAGUAACUCGAUUUUCCGGAGAAGCCACGGUGUGAAGUUGGCUUCAGGCUCGUAUCGGACUCNUACAAAAGUACGGCCAAAUAGAAAAGAUGCAAUGAAUGGAAGCUAAAACAUAAUAGAUAAUUCAUUUGUUGAUGAACAAUGCAUAAAAUACUUAAUUUAGCAAAUUAAUUCACAGGUCAUCCAUAAUUUUCAAUGGUUUUUUUGUCAAAAUUCAUAUAUAACAGUAGCGAACAACACAGAAAUAGUGGAGCAACAAAUAAUUCGUGAAAAAUCUCUAAAAUUUCUAAAAAAAAGAAAAUAUAAAAUCGGAGAACACAGUGACUAUGCCUUAGACUUGGUGGGGAACGAGAACAAGGCGAGGUCGAGGGCGAAGGGAGGAGCCCAGGAUUUGGGUGGUACGAUGCGGCAGAUCCCGAAGGGCUCAGCGAGGGGCCGGAUCUGGUCUAUGUAGGCGAGCGGGUCCACGAACUCCUCCUCCGUGGGGUAGAACACGGGAGCGUGGGGGAUGCCGACGCCGCCGCCGCCGCCGUCGCCGCCGCCGUAGGAGGCGGCGGCGGCGGAGGAGGAGGCGGCGGCGGCGGAUGAAGGGUCGGAGAGGUGGGCGGCGCCGCCCUUCACGACGUCGCGGGGGCGACCCUUCGCCAUCUAGGGUUUCGGUUUGCGUUGGCGCGGGGGGGAAGAAGCUCGGGUAGUUGGAGGAGGAGAACGAUAGAGUGGAUUUUAGUGGAGGAGAAUGAUGCGUCACGUGAGAGACUAUAUGGGUCGAGGUGGAAGGGGUUCGUGGAGAUGGUGAUCGGAGAGGGGAGAACGGGAGAUAGCUCGUGACUCAGUUUUUUUUUUUUUUUUAAGUAAUUGGGCCGGGUGGGGUGGGGUGGUGGAGCAGGAUAAUUUUUUUGUAGGGCUAGAUUGGGCUUCAUAUUUGGGCCUUGAUUAUUUUUUUUUAAAAAAAAAUUGGAUAUAUAGGACACUUGUAUAAAAGUGUCCCUAAAAUGUGUCACUAUAACCUAGUUUUGUUGUAGUGUAACUCGAUUUUUCGGAGAAGCCACGGUGUGAAGUUGGCUUCAGGCUCGUAUCGGACUCCGUUCCUAGCGGUCCAAUAGCUCGUUUCAACCGGUUCAGCUGUUCUGGAACUAAUGGCGCUGACGGAUUUUGAGUUCGAUGCACGGAUUUCGAGAAAAUCCAAAAAUACAUAUUCUAUAUGUAUUUAGGUGUGUUUUCUUCUGUUGAAAGGAAGGUUGGAUUUUGUCGUGAAUCCGUGGUCGAUCGAGACGAAACGAAAUCGUAGCUUUGUUGUCUCCCUCGUGCUGAUCGCACUGGUGCGAUCCGUUCGCAAAUCUGACGGACGGAUCUGCGGAGAUCACGCAUUGAUCGAGGAGAGGUCGGUAGUGGCAAAACGAUAUUUUCGCAAAAGUCGCGAUAUUUUAUGUAUCGUUUCGCGUGAGAUCGCACGUGGAGGGGUAUUCGUGCAUUUUAGUCAUGCUGUGAGGGACUCGGUAUGAAUUACCGGUGUUUGGUGGACCUUUUUGCAAGUUGCACCUUGUAUAUAUAAGCUCUUUAGGGUUUUGUUUCACCUAACCCUAACCUAGCCCUAGCCAACCACCCAGCCGCCUCCCUCUCCUUCCCCUGCACCUGCUGCGCGCGCCCAGGCCGCCGCCGACCGAGCCCCGGCCGGCCAACCACCGCGGCAGCCACCACUUUCCUCCCUCGCCCUCUCUUUCUCUCUCCCUCUCUCCUCUCGGGUUGUGUGGAGGCUCGGGGCUGCGCCACCUUUAGACCCUCCCCCAGGGUCGCCCCGUGCUCCGGCACCCCUUCCCGCCGGUCGCCGUCGCCGCCUCGGCCAGUUGCAGCCGCCCCAGCCCGAGCCCAGGCCGAGAGUUUGUUGCGACCUCUUUCCCGCGUCGCCGCCAUCUUGGGCCACCCCGAGGCACUUCUCCGGCCUACUGCAACCCGCCGCCGACGUCCCCGACCUACCCCAGCCGCCGCCAUGGCCGCAGCUUCCUUGGAACCCGAGCCCGAGCUCGUGUGGGCUGAGCUUGCUCCGCCGCUGCCACCGCCGCUUCUCGUCUCCAACGGAGGUGAGCUUCGUGNCACGUCUUUGUCAUGAUUAAUGUGAGUGGCCUCGUUCCGAAUGUGUUGAACCGGCCGCCGCCGGCCUGCCGCCCGCAUAGCCUUCGUCCGCCCAUGGCCGCUACCUCCCUACGGUCCCGCGUGCAGCCGGCCGCAGUCCUCCGCCGCCGUCGCUGCCCGUAACUACGGGAUCGGCGUGCUUUACCACCCCUCUAGCCGGCUGCCCCUCGGCCGCCGUCUGCUUACGCCGGUCGGACCCUCACGGCCGCGAGUGCGAUUGACCACCGUCUUCCGCCGCUACCGAGCGUCGAGUCCGCGCCGGUGGGCUCGAGCCGAGUCGUCUCCCAGCGCGCCGCCGCGGGUUCCGCACGCCGCCGCUGCCGCCGGUUAGACCGUCCUGCGCCCCCACGGAAGCCAGUACUCCCUCCAGCCGCUACACAAGGGACAGUCGCCGCUGCGCCCCCUCCGCUACGCCGGUAAGGAGACAGGUAUGACCUCACCCGACGGGGUCUCAAGUGCGCGCCACCAGCCGCCGCGGGCCCCUGCUGCCCCUCCCCGCGGCCUCCAGAGGCCUCUACGGUCCUCUUGCCGCACCGGCCGCCCUUCGUCGCCGCCACGCUCCUCCGUCCCUAGUGGGUCCGAGCCGGACCCACUGACAAUCGGCGUCCUUCGAUCUCGCCGAGGCCGCCGCGUACCCCUGCCAUCUCCGGCCGCCGCUACCACGGCUCUACCCGGAGCCGGUGUCCUUCUUCGAAUCAGUGCUCAACCACGGUAGACUCGAGUUCUCAACUCCUUCCACCACCGAUCCACCUCUCCUACCACCUCCUCUCCGGCUAGAUCCAAAAGCCACCGGCCCCUGCGAGCGGCCGCUGGCCCCGUACGCGUGACCCACCUGUCCCCCUCGAUUCAGUUGAUCCUGACGAUUCCAAUCGGCUCCCUACCUAAUCCCAAUCCCAAAGUGUACCCUUUGGGAUUUCCAUGAUAUAUAUGUAGUUCCAAAUUAACGGCGAAUCAGAAGGCUUCUGUUUAUAAAAAUUGGGCCAGGGACGGGCACGCACAUUAUACGCUCAUGCGUGGGGCUGCAAGCUUUAGAACGCUUUGUCGUGUAUUUUACAAUCUAGAAAAGCGCUAAAGAGGUAAAACGAUUAAAACUGGAGAUUCACUUUUGAUACGUUUAUGACCUCUAGGCAGACAGCUAAAAGCUAAGCUGACGUGGUAGCGUAAGUCGUGCAGCCCCCGUAGUUUUGAUGUUAGAACAAAGUAGUCUAAACCGGUGUCUAAGCGCUGCCUUGGGUAGACGAGAGAUUGAUUAGGUAUAUAGUGUGUAUAUGGUUACACAUUUGAUUAAUUUGGUUCAAAGCGUAAACUUUAGCUGAAGGGAUACAGUACGGGGCCCUGGCCGCCUCCGGGAGGGCCAUCGCACGGGUCUGGGCGGUAUACAGAUGUGUAUAUUCCGCAGAUGUGAUUUUCGCCUUCAUUUUCGUCCUCUAUCUUGUUUAUUUUCAUCGCUUUAUUGAUCGUUGAUGACUAUAGUCUCGUUCAUCUCAAGAUAGUAGAUGUGGUUUCAUUUCUUUUAUUUCGAUCAGUUUGUUUCUAUUGGUAUUCAUCAUGUUAUUGGCAGAGAUCAUGUUUUUACCGCCAGAGAUAUGUAUAUGCCCAUGUUGAGAGUUGGAGAGUGUUUUUCUUUUGUGCUCUCCAUCUGGUGGAUAGCUUGCUAGGGAGCCAUUCGUGCGAUCGGGCUCCGCUAUGGGAAAGGCGCUAGGGACCGGAGAGGGACGCACCUUCCGAGACUUUUUGUAGCUCUUUUUCUCCCGCACUCUUGAUAUUAAAUAUCAAGGGUCACCCGUUAAUGACUGGAGUCGAGAACUGUUUAAGGUUCGGAUCGCGGUUUCGGCGAUCCGAAGGCACCCCGAUGAUGAAGAAAGUGAGCACGAUCAUCCUCUUUCUGUGCUGAACAUCAUGCUCACCUUCGUUUAGGUCUGAGAUUCCCUGGUUAGCGAGUUCAACGCGAUUUAUACCCUGUGCGCGCUGUUUCGCUAACUUUCGCGUCGCUCAUGCAGGUGCCACAGUAGCCGGAAGUGCUCCGAAAGGGGAGCACGGCCUCCAGCACCCCGAGACCUAUCAACGGGUGUCUCGGUUCAGCUAAAUAACCCUCAGGUCGCGCUAGUGAGUCAUAAAAGCCCCGAAAUCACAUAAAUAAUGUGAUUUUGGAUAAUCGGGUGGGCUUUUAUGCAUUUUCGUUCGUCGUGGCUAUUGUUGGCAGCAUGUGCGGGCAGUGGAUAACCUAUGGACUGAUUGUCCAAGGCCCCAAGCCCUUAUGGAAAUCGAAAAGUGAUUUCCGGCACAUUUCUCGGCGAAAUCCGCCGACGGAACGUGGGUUCGGUUCGGAAUUCUUCCGACGGUGCUUCGUGAUGAUUAUUUAUGUAUAGUGGUAGCGAGUGACUCAUAGCACGAGUCGGUGUGUUCCGGGACAGUUCAUGGAUCCCGGCGGUGUCCCGGUGCGAUUUUCGGGACUUCCGACGAGUUACGGUAGUCGUUUUUGGGAAACCGAUCUCCGUGGCAUUAGUUUGUGGGAUGUGGAGUCAGUGGUUAUUAGUGGUAGGUUAUACACUAACUCGGUGGACCUUCCUUAGGUCCGGUUGAUAUUCUUUUUGCAGUCAGGAGACAGACGCGACAUCCUUACAGGUGGGUACUUCGACCCGACGUCGGUACAGUGGUGCACGCUCGGUGAUGGUUUCUUACCUUUAUUCUCUCGUUAUUAUCUGGCAUAUAUAUAUAUCUUGCUAUAUAGUGUUGAGCCUAGCACCAUGUUGUUUCAGUUAUGCUCUACUCGGUUAUUUUCGUUAUAUCUAGUAUCAUGAGUAGGAGUAGAGUAGUUAUUCCAUGUUUCUUUGUUACUCUAUUUAGCUGUUCUGCAUAUCCGGUAUCAUGUUUAGAGUAGAGCAUCUUCGUGACUUUCAUUGUUUGAUGACCGUUGAGGUCGGUAUAUCCUGAGGAGUGAGAUUGUCGGUUAAUGGCCGACGGAUGAUUAUAGUUUUCACAGAUCUGUCAUUUGACCCUUUGUGACCUAGUCUGUCAGUUCUGGAUUCUUGUCGUUUGAUGACCCACGAGGUCAGUGUACCCUGAGGGGUAGGAUUGUCAGCUAGUGGCUGACGGCAGUUCCAGAUUAUAGUGAUACAUUCCUGUGACUUAUUGGUUGAUUCCUGCAUCUAUACUUUAGUUGAUCCAUCGAGCAGUAUUUCCAUACUUUUGAGAGGAUGUUGAGUCGAUUCGUUGUGCAUAUAUCCUAGUUGACCUGAGUGGUCAGUCCUUGUGGUUCAUUGAGCAGUACUUGCAUAUGUUUGAGAGGAUGUCGAUGUUGUCCCAUCCUAGUUGACCUGAGUGGUUGGUUCUUGUGCUUUCUUACAGUUGGAUGACCUUUUGGUCGGUUAGCCCCGAGGGGCGGUGAUUGUCGGCUGAUUGCCGACAGUUGGCUAUUGAUCAUAUCUGCAUUGAUCGCCACAGCUCGAGUGCAUUUCACGUACACCAGCGGGUUGAUCCCCCGCAGGAGGGUGUUCUGUUCCGGAAAAGUGGUCGUACAUCCGACCCGUGAGCCCAGCGGUGUUGUCUUUGUGCUAGGGUUACAUGCCAGGUGUGAGCAGGUAGUGGCUUUUGCCUGAGGUCCUUAGUCCGACACGGCGGUUUAGAUUGGGUACUUUUGGACUUCUCGUCCAGUUGACGCAUAUAGCUAUAGUAGCGGUUGUUGUAUAUAUACUUCUAGUUCUUUCUUUACAGUUGUCUUACUACUAUAGUUUUGAUAUCCUUGUAUACUUGCAGUUGUACAUUAUAGUAGCGGUAGUUGUGCUUUCAUAUAUAUAUCUCAUUCGUUCAUUAUCGUUGCUACUGUAUUNAUGUUGUGAGCUGGUUGAAUUUGUGGAUUUGUGGAAUUGUGGAUUUGGUUUAUGGAUCUUCAGUUUUGGGAUGUUUGUAUACUUUGUGGUUCGCGGAUUUGUAUUUAUGGAUUUACGCAUCGUGGUUUUCUACCCCUCGAGGUAGUCAGUUUUUAAAAUAGAGUUUCCGUGUGGAAAACAGUUUUCAAAAGAUUUUUGAAUGAUUUUCAUGUAUGAAUGAAUUAGAUUUUAAAAACAAAAGCUUCCGUGUGGGGAGCACUUUUAAAUAGGAUGAUUGUUGUACUGUGUAUUGCAUCAUCCAGCGUCUAAGGAGUGUUUAGAGGCAUGCAUCAUCUCUAAGGAUUGUUAGCUGUAUGAAAAUGCAUAUCAUGAAUUGGUUGCUGAUUGAAAAAUGUAGGUUGUGGUUGUGAUCCUGUUGUAUCCGUUGGUACGCCGUGCAAAUACAAAGGAGACUCUGUCCGAGUGAACAGAUGAACUUUGUAUUUGUGGCGGGUCUGUACGUCACGUGGGCCAGGUUGGAAAAAAAAAAAAAAAUGGCACAUCUUCCGCGACUCUCAGAUUUCAAAAUGGUAAUGGCUUUUAAGAUCGGCCCCAGGGCGUGACACUAGGUAUAUAGUGACAGUUAAAGAGUGCCGCUAUAACCUAAAAGAGUACUGCUAAUUUUCCAACACUUAUUUAAGCAUUUAGCAACCGCCGAAACUCUAUCUCGUUGGCUGCGGUGGCGGAAGAGGACGACAGUAAAGGCUCUUCGUUUAAAAUUUCAGUGGAUUGAGUGAAGAGUGAAGAAAAGAUGGUAAUUGAUUUUUCUUUUUUUUUUUUCUUUUCUGUUUGUAAUCGGGCCAAAUUGACUCGGUGUGGUGGGUUGAGUAGAGUAAUCUUUUAUUUUUGGUUGGAUUGGGCUUUAUAUUUAGACAUUAGUAGAUGUGUUUUUAAGUUUUAGCAUAAAUGGGACACUUACUCAAAAGUGUCCCAAAUAUGUGUCCCUAUAACCUAAUUCUGUUGUAGUGAGCUUACAGUAGCAGCAUCCCUCGUUUAGUAGUUUAUGAUAU